UACGUAGGUGGCAAGCGUUGUUCGGAAUUAUUGGGCGUAAAGGGCGCGUAGGCGGCUUGCUAAGUCAGUUGUGAAAGCCCGGGGCUCAACCCCCGGAGGGUCGGCUGAUACUGGUGGACUAGAGUACGGAAGAGGUAGCUGGAAUUCCCGGUGUAGCGGUGAAAUGCGGUAGAUAUCGGGAGGAACACCUGAGGCGAAGGCGGGCUACUGGGCCGAUACUGACGCUGAGGCGCGAAAGCCAGGGGAGCAAAGCGGG
rnacentral:rRNA from 1 species